rnacentral:rRNA from 1 species
AAGGGUGCCCUUCGGGGAACGCAGAGACAGGUGGGGCAUGGUUGUUGUCAGCUCGUGUCGUGAGAUGUUGGGUUAAGUCCCGCAACGAGCGCAACCCUUAUCCCUAGUUGCCAGCGAAAGAGUCGGGGACUUUAGGGAGACUGCCCGGGACGACCGGGAGGAAGGGGGGGAAGAAGUUAAAUUAUUAUGCCCCUUUUGUUUUGGGGUACCCACGUGGUACAAUGGGCGGUACAAACCGAAAGGAAGCCGAGAGGUGGAGCGAACCGGAGAAAGCCGUUCCCCGUUUGGGUUGCUCUUUGCAAAUCGAGAGCCUGAAGGCGGAAUCGGUUGGUAAUGCGGGUCAGCAAACCCCGGGUAAAAAGGUUCCCGGCCUUGGACCCCCCCGCCGGCCCCCCCAGAAAAGUGGCAACACCCGAAGUCGGUUAGGUAACCUAAAGGAGCCAGCGCGAAGGUGGAUCGA